rnacentral:rRNA from 1 species
UACGUAGGGUGCAAGCGUUGUCCGGAAUUAUUGGGCGUAAAGAGCUCGUAGGCGGUCUGUCGCGUCGGCUGUGAAAACUCGGGGCUCAACUCCGAGCUUGCAGUCGAUACGGGCAGGCUAGAGUUCGGCAGGGGAGACUGGAAUUCCUGGUGUAGCGGUGAAAUGCGCAGAUAUCAGGAGGAACAUCGGUGGCGAAGGCGGGUCUCUGGGCCGAUACUGACGCUGAGGAGCGAAAGCGUGGGGAGCGAACAGG